rnacentral:rRNA from 1 species
AGCGUCUGGAAAGGCGCGCGAUACAGGGUGACAGCCCCGUACACAAAAAUGCACAUGCUGUGAGCUCGAUGAGUAGGGCGGGACACGUGGUAUCCUGUCUGAAUAUGGGGGGACCAUCCUCCAAGGCUAAAUACUCCUGACUGACCGAUAGUGAACCAGUACCGUGAGGGAAAGGCGAAAAGAACCCCGGCGAGGGGAGUGAAAAAGAACCUGAAACCGUGUACGUACAAGCAGUGGGAGCACGCUUAGGCGUGUGACUGCGUACCUUUUGUAUAAUGGGUCAGCGACUUAUAUUCUGUAGCAAGGUUAACCGAAUAGGGGAGCCGAAGGGAAACCGAGUCUUAACUGGGCGUUAAGUUGCAGGGUAUAGACCCGAAACCCGGUGAUCUAGCCAUGGGCAGGUUGAAGGUUGGGUAACACUAACUGGAGGACCGAACCGACUAAUGUUGAAAAAUUAGCGGAUGACUUGUGGCUGGGGGUGAAAGGCCAAUCAAACCGGGAGAUAGCUGGUUCUCCCCGAAAGCUAUUUAGGUAGCGCCUCGUGAAUUCAUCUCCGGGGGUAGAGCACUGUUUCGGCAAGGGGGUCAUCCCGA